UCGAAGAUGGUCUUAUUUUUUGGUGAAAAAUAAUUUUACCAAACAACUAUUGAAAUAAUAAAAUUAUAAUUAAAAAAAGAAAAAUUCUGGAUAAUAUACACUUAUUAUGAUUUUACGUAUGAAAAUAAUUAGAUACCAAAAGUUUCGUAAUAAAUCCUAUAAUAUCACAAAGAGUUCUAUAAAAAAAACAUAUGAUCUAUCAUAUUAUUAUAAAAUGUAUAAUCCAUGGCAAACGACAAUUGUCGUCAUUUGUAGGAGACGAUUAACAGUUCUAAUAAUUUUAUUGAACAGUCGUAAAACAACAGUCUUCAGUACAUGAAAAGUGCUCUAAUUUUCAUAAAAAAUUUCAAUAAUUCCAUUCCGAAUCGUAAAGAAGACGAAUGAAGAAAUAAACUAUUGCUGUUUCUUCGAUGACGGUGCACGUUUGAACUUUAAUAUGGCACAGCUUGAUUUCGCCGAAAAGCGUCGACGGAUACUUACUGCAAAGAAGACGAAUGAAGAAAUAAACUAGCUGUUUCUUCGGCGAUGGUGCACUUUUGAACUGUAAAUGUGAUACAGCUCGAUUUCGCCGAACUGCGUCGAAGAAUACUUACAAUCACGAUGAAAAUCGAUAUGAAGAAAAUUUGCAGUUUCUUAGGCGGCGGUGCACCACUUCAUAUAUAGUAUAUACUAUAGAUUGACACAACUCACGGUUUCUCGGGAAUAGUCGACGAUUACAAUCACGAUGAAGAUCGAUAUGAAGAAAAUUUGGAGUUUCGUCGGCGGCGGUGCACCACUCCAUAGUCCAUAUGCACUGUAGAUUGGAACAACUCGGUUUCCCGGGAAGAGUCGACAUUGAUACAAGUCGUGGUUUUCCGGGAAUAGUUGAUGAUUACUAUCGUCAAUUCGAAACGCGGUAAAGACGGACAAGGAAAUCUGUUCCUGCGUCGGCGAUGUGGAAGUACGAAAGCAUGUUUUUACAUUCGAUUUUUCGCUACCAGAACGACCUCUUAACGUUUGGACAUUACAUAUGAGAUAUUACACAACUAAGUUUCACAAAAAAAUCUAUGUUUACGACGGUACCGGAACGGGUAUGAUUUAGUCACAUGUGUAUAACGAGUCGAAUGUGAAUAACUGCUUGUAUUUGGAAAUUAAUUUUAUUGAUUUUGUAAGUCCUUCUUUAUUAUACGUAGAUCAUAAUCUAUUAACUAUUUAAUAUGUAAUAUUAAUUUAAUGAUUAAACUUUUAAAUAUUAUUAAAAUUGUUAAUCAUUUAG